rnacentral:pre_miRNA from 1 species
AGCUUUUUGAAUCCAUGCUGGGAUUUCGUCGGACAACAACCCACUGGAGCUGAUCAGACUUCCAAGAUAAAAGAAGUU